UACGUAGGUGGCGAGCGUUGUCCGGAUUUACUGGGCGUAAAGGGCGUGCAGGCGGUCUGCUAAGUCUAGGGUGAAAGCUCCCGGCUCAACUGGGAGAGGUCCUUGGAUACUGACAGACUUGAGGGAGGCAGAGGAGAAUGGAAUUCCCGGUGUAGUGGUGAUAUGCGUAGAUAUCGGGAGGAACACCAGUGGCGAAGGCGGUUCUCUGGGCCUUACCUGACGCUGAGACGCGAAAGCGUGGGGAGCGAACCGG
rnacentral:rRNA from 1 species